UACAGAGGUCUCAACCGUUGUUCGGAUUCAUUGGGCGUAAAGGGUGCGUAGGCGGUCGCGUAAGUCAGGUGUGAAAUCUCAGGGCUCAACCCUGAAACUGCACUUGAUACUGCGUGGCUCGGGUACUGGAGAGGAGACUGGAAUUUACGGUGUAGCAGUGAAAUGCGUAGAUAUCGUAAGGAAGACCAGUGGCGAAGGCGAGUCUCUGGACAGUUACCGACGCUGAGACGCGAAAGCGUGGGGAGCGAACAGG
rnacentral:rRNA from 1 species